rnacentral:rRNA from 1 species
ACUCAAAGGAAUAGACGGGGACCCGCACAAGCAGUGGAGUAUGUGGUUUAAUUCGAAGCAACGCGAAGAACCUUACCAGGUCUUGACAUCCCCAUGAAAAGGCUAGAGAUAGCCUCCCUCUUCGGAGCAUGGGAGACAGGUGGUGCAUGGUUGUCGUCAGCUCGUGUCGUGAGAUGUUGGGUUAAGUCCCGCAACGAGCGCAACCCUUGAUGCUAGUUGCCAGCACGUAACGGUGGGCACUCUAGGAUGACUGCCGGUGACAAACCGGAGGAAGGUGGGGAUGACGUCAAAUCAUCAUGCCCCUUAUGACCUGGGCUACACACGUACUACAAUGGCCGGUACAACGGGAAGCGAAGGAGCGAUCUGGAGCGAAUCCUUAGAAGCCGGUCUCAGUUCGGAUUGCAGGCUGCAACUCGCCUGCAUGAAGUCGGAAUUGCUAGUAAUCGCGGAUCAGCAUGCCGCGGUGAAUACGUUCCCGGGUCUUGCACACACCGCCCGU